GCCUUCUUAGUGCAGUGGGCAGCGCACCAGUCUCAUAAUCUGAAGGUUCUGAGUUCAGUCCUCAGAGAGGGCA
rnacentral:tRNA from 1 species